rnacentral:rRNA from 1 species
AUUGAACGCUGGCGGAAUGCUUUACACAUGCAAGUCGAACGGCAGCACGGACUUCGGUCUGGUGGCGAGUGGCGAACGGGUGAGUAAUGUAUCGGAACGUGCCCAGUCGUGGGGGAUAACGUAGUGAAAAUUACGCUAAUACCGCAUACGAUCUAUGGAUGAAAGCGGGGGAUCGCAAGACCUCGCGCGAUUGGAGCGGCCGAUAUCAGAUUAGGUAGUUGGUGGGGUAAAGGCCCACCAAGCCAACGAUCUGUAGCUGGUCGGAGAGGACGACCAGCCACACUGGAACUGAGACACGGUCCAGACUCGUACGGGAGGCAGCAGUGGGGAAUUUUGGACAAUGGGCGAAAGCCUGAUCCAGCCAUUCCGCGUGCAGGAUGAAGGCCCUCGGGUUGUAAGCUGCUUUUGUACAGAACGAAAAGGUUUCUACUAAUACUAGGAGCUCAUGACGGUACUGUAAGAAUAAGCACCGGCUAACUACGUGCCAGCCGCCGCCGUAA